rnacentral:rRNA from 1 species
AACGAACGCUGGCGGCGCGCCUAAUACAUGCAAGUCGAACGAGAAGGUGUAGCAAUACACUUGUACAGUGGCGAACGGGUGAGGAAUGCAUGGGCAACCUACCCUCGAGUGGGGAAUAACCAGCCGAAAGGUUGGCUAAUACCGCGUACGCUUCCGGGUCUCCGGAUCCGGAAGGAAAGUCACACCGUGGGUGUGACGCUCAAGGAUGGGCUCAUGUCCUAUCAGCUGUUGGUGAGGUAACGGCUCACCAAGGCAACGACGGGUAGCUGGCCUGAGAGGACGAUCAGCCACACUGGCACUGCGACACGGGCCAGACUCCUACGGGAGGCAGCAGUAAGGAAUAUUGCGCAAUGGGCGAAAGCCUGACGCAGCGACGCCGCGGUGGGGGA